rnacentral:rRNA from 1 species
AUUGAACGCUGGCGGAAUGCUUUACACAUGCAAGUCGAACGGUAGAGGGGGCAACCCCUCGAGAGUGGCGAACGGGUGAGUAAUAUAUCGGAACGUGCCCAGUCGUGGGGGAUAACGUAGCGAAAGUUACGCUAAUACCGCAUACGAUCUAAGGAUGAAAGCGGGGGAUCGCAAGACCUCGCGCGAUUGGAGCGGCCGAUAUCAGAUUAGGUAGUUGGUGGGGGAAAGGCUCACCAAGCCAACGAUCUGUAGCUGGUCUGAGAGGACGACCAGCCACACUGGAAAUGAGACCCGGGCCGGACUCCUACGGGAGGCGUCAGUGGGGAAUUUUGGACAAUGGGCGCAAGUCUGGUCCAGCCAUUCCGCGUGCAGGCUGAAGGCCCUCGGGUUGUAAACUGCUUUUGUACGGAACGAAACGGUCUCUCUUAAUACGGGGGACUCAUGACGGUACCGUAAGAAUAAGCACCGGCUAACUACGUGCCAGCCGCCGCCGUAA